CUGGUCCUGAGUGGGCUCCCUGUGCCCCUCCCGGCGCGCCCUCGGAGAAGCAUGGAUGUCGGGAGGGUGUCACCCGGUGUCCCGUCCUCCAGGUUGGGAGUGGGGUGGGGUAACAGAGGUGCCGGAAUGGGGAAAGAUGUAAAAUAGUAUUUACAAAGGAAGGGGGGGGGAGUGGGUGACACUUCCUUCACGUAAACCCAGUUUCUGAUUUCAAGCGGAGGCAGAAUCCUUGCCUCUGCGCCCGCGCGCAGGCGCUUCGGCCGGAACCCCCGGCUCCAAGUGCCCACGGGGAAAAGAAAUAAAGCAGAAGAAGAACAGCGAAAGUCAAGGCUGCCGCACGUUUAUUCGGACAAACCCGGGUCUCCCGGCCCUCCACCGCCCCACGCACUCAUCAGCUCCUCUCCGUAAGCUGAGGCCACCUCCUGCAGGGUUCACGAAAGGUUCUUUUCAGUGCCUCCCUGGCUGUCCCAAAAGUCACGCUCCGGGGGCCCCCAGGAGAGCGCUCAGUGGUCCCACCGGACUCUGGGCAGCCGGGGAGGUGGGCACUCACGCCAGCAUGCUCGGGGUCCCGCAGCAGAGCGCCGGCGGCUGUGAGAGCGAGUUUUUUGCCCCGGGACUCGGAGAGGCCGGUAACGCACCCGCACCCAAACACCACCACGGGGUGUGUCCACCCCACAGCCCGGCGGGAGAAACUGCUCCCAACUUCAAGGACCGGAGAAGCUUGGGAAGGAGGCCGGCGCUGACACGAGGGCUCCCAAACUGUACCCGCUUACAGUUUCCAAAGCAUUUUCAUGGAUCGGCGUGAUCGGAUUCGCCCCGUUUGCGCCUCGCACCCCAGCGGAGCCACUCUCUGGCCUAAUCGCCUCAUUAGCAUAUCAACAACAGUCCAAUUGCUAGCCAGGACCACGGUCUGCCGCCGGCCGCUCCGAUCCAGGUAUAAAGGCCUCCUCAGGCCGCGAACCCGCUCCCACAGCGCGGGCCAGCGCCAGCCUGCUCGCCGGAGCGCUCUGCCCGGGGCUCCAGCGGCCCCUAUCCCGGCCCGACUCCAUCCCCUUCCCCGUUCGCUAGUUUCCGGAUCCCGUCAGCCGAAGACACCUCGGAGUAAAGCUCUGUACGACGCAGGGUAGCAGGGGCGGCGCCUGGGGGACCACGUUCCAGCCACCCCCACCCCCCGCUACCACCGCCACUCUCUGCCUUUCGUCCCCGUCCGAUUUUAUUAGAAAUCAUUAUCCCUUUCGCAAUGAAUCGUAUCCACCAAAACAGGACCAGCAAAGUCACUCCAGGAUUUUUUUUUUCCCCAACUGAAGAUCGCCUCCGCUCGUGGCUGUCCCCCCCGCCCUCCCCCGGGUUGCAGCGCCCUGAGAGUUUUUUAUUAGCUUCGCGCUUCCCCCCACCCCCACCCCCUAGCCCUCCAGGUUGGAGAUUCUGCCAACCGGCCCCGGUGGCUCGGUAGGGGUUUGCGAUCUCUUUUAAUUGCUACGUGUAAAAUAAAAGUUGUACCCUGAAGAGAUUCACUCGACAGCUCCGGGGGGGGGGGGUUUAAAUGAUCUUUCCCUCCCGCUGGCGUGAAGCUGGGGCGGACUGACGAGUCACCGGGGUGUCUGGGCCGUGAGGUUUCCCAGGUGCGGCGUGGACAUGAGCGCGCGCGGGUGGGGGUGCACAGCUCCUUCUGGAGUGAGCCAAAAACACGCAGGUCCGUGAGCGCCCGCGACCCUCCGGUUCCGUGUCAGCCGUGCAUCCAAAUAAAUCACUGGGAACCAACCCUUCCUGUGUUAAUCGGCUCCGCUUUUCCCAAGAUUCUCCUUUUUAAUUAAAAAAGGACGCGAUCCUUCAUGAUUUGAUGUUGCUAACGCCGGCGCGUUGGAGACGCAAUGGCUAGCUGGUGAAGAACCUGAAGGCGGGGACACCCCCGUA